GUGCUUGCUUCAGCAGCACAUAUACUAAAAUUGGAAUGAUACGAAGAAGAUUACCAUGGCCCCUGCACAAGGAUGACACGCAAAUUCAUGAAGCAUUACAUAAAAAA